rnacentral:rRNA from 1 species
AAAAGCUUUCUUUAAUUGAAUAAUUGAAUUUAAUUUUUUAGUGCAAAAGCAAAAAUAAAAAUUAGGGACAAGAAGACCCUAUGAAUUUUUUAUUAAAUUUUAUAAAACUUUAUAUAAAAUUUAAUUUAAUUGGGGUGAUGGAAAAAGAAUAAAUAUCUUUUUUUUUAAAAAAAUUGGUUCCGUUUUUAGCGAUUAAAUGAAAAAAANACUCUAGGGAUAACAGCGUAAUAAUUUUGGAUAGUUCAUAUANAUAAAAUAGUUUGCGACCUCGAUGUUGGAUUAGGAUUCUUUUUUGGUGAANAAGUUAAAAAAA